UGCAAUCUACCUUUCACAGAGGGAUAGCCCAGAGAAAUUUGGAUUAAUACCUCAUAGUAUUAUAGGAUGGCAUCAUUUUAUAAUUAAAGUCACAACGGUGAAAGAUGAGCAUGCGUCCCAUUAGCUAGUUGGUAAGGUAACGGCUUACCAAGGCAACGAUGGGUAGGGGUCCUGAGAGGGAGAUCC
rnacentral:rRNA from 1 species